UAAUACGGAGGGGGCUAGCGUUGUUCGGAAUUACUGGGCGUAAAGGGCGCGCAGGCGGCUGCUCAAGUCAGGCGUGAAAGGCCUGGGCUCAACCCGGGAAUUGCGCUUGAGACUGGGCUGGCUUGAGUGCGGGAGAGGAUGGUGGAAUUCCCAGUGUAGAGGUGAAAUUCGUAGAUAUUGGGAAGAACACCGGUGGCGAAGGCGGCCAUCUGGACCGCAACUGACGCUGAGGCGCGAAAGCGUGGGGAGCAAACAGGAUUAGAUACCCUGGUAGUCCACGCCGUAAACGAUGAGUGCUAGACGUUGGGGAGCCUAGCUUUCCGGUGUCGCAGCUAACGCAUUAAGCACUCCGCCUGGGGAGUACGGCCGCAAGGUUA
rnacentral:rRNA from 1 species